AGAAAAUGCACAGCAUAAUAGAUGAAACAAUAAUGAAGUCAAUGUUUGUGACAGAACCAACACCUUAUCUGAAGAAAAAAAAAAGUUACAUUCGGCUAAAGAGAAGCGAUCAUGGAGUGUGGAUAAUUGGAUGAAAAUCUCCAAUUUUCAAGCAAUGUGAGCCAUGACUACUCUUGGAGGUAGGAGAAUACUGUGACUAUUGAUUUGGGAAAUAAGAUGUGGAAGAGGCUACUACAAAAGGGGCAGAUAUGAGUUGUAAAUAGAAAUAUGACUACUGUUGGAGUGGAAAGACGGGGGUGUGGGGAGCCCUAAAGAUAAUUAUUACCUUCAGGAGGGGAUACGAUGUGAGACCUAAAUUUUAAAGGAAUGCUAUUUAAGAAAACACACUGAAAAGCAGAGGGAAAGGAGAAACGAAAGGAAGGGCGUAAGGGAUACAAUGGAAAAGCUGCAGUAGUUCUAGUCUGUGAUUUUAUCCAUAGCAGAUGAUAAGAGAAGCCAGAGAAAAGAGUAAUUAAUAAAGUAAAGUA